GACGAGGGCGCGAGCGUUGUCCGGAUUUAUUGGGCGUAAAGAGCUCGUAGGCGGUUUGUCGCGUCUGCUGUGAAAACCCGAGGCUCAACCUCGGGCCUGCAGUGGGUACGGGCAGACUAGAGUGCGGUAGGGGGAGAUUGGAAUUCCUGGUGUAGCGGUGGAAUGCGCAGAUAUCAGGAGGAACACCAAUGGCGAAGGCAGAUCGUCUGGGCCGUAACUGACGCUGAGGAGCGAAAGCAUGGGGAGCGAACAGG
rnacentral:rRNA from 1 species